GAUGAACGCUAGCGGCAGGCUUAACACAUGCAAGCCGAGGGGUAUAGUUCUUCGGAACUAGAUACCGGCACAAGGGUGCGUAACGCGUAUGCAAUAUACCUUUUACAGGGGGAUAGCCCAGCGAAAUCUGGCUUAAUACCCCAUAGUAUGUUACAGCGGCAUCAUAUUAACAUUAAAGUUCACACGAUAAAAGAUGCGCAUGCUACCGAUUAGCUAGAUGGUAAGGUAACGGCUUACCAUGGCGACGAUGGGUAGGGGGUCUGACAGGGAGAUCCCCCACACUGGUACUGAAACACGGAUCAGACUCCUACGGGAGGCAGCAGUGAGGAAUAUUGGACAAUGAGCGCAAGCCUGAUCCAGCCAUGCCGCGUGCAGGAAGACGGUCCUAUGGAUUGUAAACUGCUUUUGUACAGGAAGAAACACUCCCUCGUGAGGGAGCUUGACGGUACUGUAAGAAUAAGGAUCGGCUAACUCCGUGCCAGCAGCCGCGGUAAGAC
rnacentral:rRNA from 1 species